rnacentral:rRNA from 1 species
ACUCGUUUCUUGUUAUAAGACAAGUCGGGAAAGUUUUUCGCUAAGGGAUCAGUCUAUGUUCCAUCAGCUUGUUGGUGAGGUAAUGGCUCACCUAGGCUAUGACGGAUAUCUGGUUUGAGAGGAUGAUCAGACACACUGGAACUGAGACACGGUCCAGACUCCUACGGGAGGCAGCAGUGAGGAAUAUCGCACAAUGGAGGAAACUCUGAUGCAGCAACGCCGCGUGGAGGAUGACGCAUUUCGGUGUGUAAACUCCUUUUAUUAGGGAAGAUAAUGACGGUACCUAAUGAAUAAGCACCGGCUAACUCCGUGCCGGCAGCCGCGGUAAUACGGAGGGUGCAAGCGUUACUCGGAAUCACUGGGCGUAAAGGGUGCGUAGGCUGGCUUUUAAGUCAGAUGUGAAAUCCAAUGGCUCAACCAUUGACCUGCAUUUGAAACUGAAAGCCUAGAGUUCAGAAGGGGCAGAUGGAAUUAGUGGUGUAGGGGUAAAAUCCGUAGAUAUCACUAGGAAUAUCAAAAGCGAAGGCGAUCUGCUGGGA